AAUUAAUGGGUUUAUGAACAUCAACACAAAGAACGUAAAUUGCUAAGAAGUGAAAGUCAACUGUUUGUUCCAUUGCGACAUCAACGCCCAGCAGCAGAACUACGCUUCUGCCAUUUUGGACUGAAAGCGACUAUACCGGACACCAGUAAAACAUCUGCCUAAAAA